GCCUGGGUGGCUUAGUCGGUCGAGCGCCGGACUUCGGCUCAGGUCAUGAUCUCACAGUUCGUGGAUUCGAGCCCCACGUCAGGCU
rnacentral:tRNA from 1 species